AAUAGUUUUAAGCUAAGAGCUCCUAAUAAUUGUUUCUCCUCUUUGUAGUUGCCAUUUUAUUCAUAUUUUUGCUGAGAUAAAGAAUAAUAUUGAGAUGAAUUUCCUUUCCGAUGAUGAGAUUGGGUAUGCCUAUGUUUUGUAUUUUUUUCAGUAUUAUUUUAUUUCAGGCUUCAGUCAGCUGAGAGAGCUAAGAGAUAAUAUGGUAAACAAUUUCUAUCAAGUGGGUGAGCUCCAUUUUUCAAGGUAAGUCAGGUGACAGCAAAAAAAACCAAGGAGAUGAGUCUCUUAUUAGUUGAUUUGAUCUUAUCCAGGUUCUAUUUUCUUUCAGGCCAUGAAUUACAAUGUCUUGGUUAGAGCUACUACAUUCAAAGAGUAAAUCUGUUUCGUUGUACUGAAUUUAUGUACAUUGUAUAAAAAGGUGCAUCUAUUAUGCCAUGUAGAAUUUUCAGCUGAGCAAUUGUGUAGACUUACAAAGCUAUCAUGACAGAUGUUAGUGAUUUCUGUAUUGGGGCCAUGUUACAUCUCUAGGGUUGAAUUAAUGGCUAGAAAUUCAGAGUUACAUAGCUGAAAACAGGGUUGCUUGAAGCAAACAAGCUGCUUAUUCAGUAUUUUUAACACUCAUGGAAAAGAAUGUUUCCAAGUGACUGCUUUACACAUGGGAGACUGGAUGCAUGGAGGAGUUCAGAGAAGCUGGUGUUAUGUUACAUAUGGUCUUCAAGCUGAUGUUAUGUUUCUUCCAUGGUUUGUAUAUUUGUUGCAAAAACAUAGUACAAGAAAAAGAUCUAUGCUCA